AUUUCACUAGUGAUAGUUUAUAUUUUUAUUAUUUUUUUUCUUUUAUGAUAAUUAUGAAAAAUAUAUGAAUAUACUGGCGAUAAAUUUUUUAUAAUUAUUUACGAAUAUUUAUUUAAAUACAAAUUGUUUAUUAAAUAAUAAUUAUAUAAAUAUAAAUAUGAAUUCAAGAAAAUAAAUGAAAUAGUUUUUAAACUAUUACAACUAAUUGAUUAUAUUUUGUCAAUGGAUAAUAAAAUAUUAAAAAAUAUUGAAAAUGAUAAUGAAAAUGAGAUAAAUGUUAAUGAUCAAAAAACUUUAAAUAGUUUUAUAGAUGAAUGGAGUGUUUGUGACGUAUUUAAUACAGAUGAAAAUAAUGGGAAAACACAAUAUUUUGAUAAUAAUGAAGAGAAAAAAGAAAAGAAAUCAUCAGAAAUUACACAAAAUAAUUUAAAUUUUUCUCAGAAUGAAACAAAUACUCAUUGGCAGGAUAAUACAUUUUUGGAUAAAAUGUUUUCACAAUUUGAUUCAUAUGACGAAAAAAAUGUUUUAGAAUGUUCUACUCAGAUUAUUCAUACAUUAAAAAAUUGUUCUGAAGAAACGUAUGUUACAAAAGGAAUGAAUUCAAUACAUUUAUUAAAAAAUAAGCAACAGGAUGUCAAAUUUCUUAAAAGAUACUCAGUUAAUUAUAGCAAUAUUAUUCCAAAUAAAAUAUGUUGUUUAGAUAAUAAAUUAAAAGAACAAAAUAUAAAUAUUAAUACAAGUUUAAUAAACAAUGAUACAUUUUAUGGUUUGUCAAAUAAGACAAAAGAACUUUUCUUAAAAAUUAAAGGCAUUAAUACAUUAUAUCAAUGGCAAGAUGAUUGUUUAAAUUUAGAUGCAAUAAAGAAUAAAAAAAAUUUAAUUUAUGCCCUUCCUACUAGUGGAGGUAAAACAUUGGUUGCAGAAAUAUUAAUGUUGCAAGAACUUAUGUGUAAUAAAAAAAAUGCAAUAUUUAUAUUACCAUUCGUUGCUAUAGUACAAGAAAAAAUUCAAGCAAUGACACCAUUUGCACUUGAGUUAGGUUUUUUAGUUGAAGAAUAUGCAGCAACAAAAGGAACUUUUCCUCCCAAAAAGCGUCGUAAAAAAAAUAGCAUAUAUAUAUGUACUAUAGAAAAAGCAUUAGGUUUAAUAAAUAGUUUAAUAGAAGAAAAACGUCUUCAUGAAAUUGGUAUUAUAGUUGUUGAUGAAUUACAUCUUCUUGGAGAAAAUGGAGGAAGGGGUGCUACAUUAGAAGUUCUUUUAACAAAAGUACUUUAUGUUAAUGAUAAUAUUCAUAUUAUUGGAAUGAGUGCAACAAUAGGUAAUUUAGAAGAAAUAGCAACAUUUUUAAAUGCAGAUUUAUAUACUGGAAAUUUUCGACCUAUUGAAAUUAAAGAAUAUGUGAAAUGUGAUGAAAAUAUUUGGUUAGUUGAUUUAAAAACAGAAGAAUUGUUAACAGAUGUAAAAAAAAUUAAUUAUCGUUAUUCAAAGGAUGCAGCAAUCAUAGAUCCUGAUCGAAUUGCAGGUCUGGUAAUGGAUAUAAUUCCAGAACAUUCAUGUCUCAUAUUUUGUUCCUCUCGUAAAAAUUGUGAAAAUGUUGCUUUGUUAUUAGCUAAAGUUUUACCCAAAUCAUUACAAGAUUACAAAAGGGAUAAAAAACAAGAUUUAUUAAAUGCACUUAAAAAUGAAGAAGGUCUUUGUCCUAUCUUACAUAAAACCAUAAAUUUUGGUGUAGUCUAUCAUCAUUCUGGUCUUACAUCUGAGGAAAGACGAUUAUUAGAAGAUGCUUUUAAAUCAGGGACUCUUUGUGUAAUAUGUUGUACAUCAACACUAGCAACUGGAAUAAAUUUACCAGCAAGAAGGGUAAUAUUAAGAAGUCCGUAUAUUGGCAAUCAGUUUUUGAAUUUAAGUAGAUAUAAACAAAUGGUAGGAAGAGCUGGUCGUGCGGGUAUGGGAAAUAUAGGAGAGAGUAUACUGAUAUGUAAAAGUAAUGAAUUACAAAAGAUAACAGAACUUUUAAAAUCUAAAAUGGAUGAUUCUUUAAGUACACUACAUAUAGAUAGAGAUAGAGGUAUAAAUAAUUUAAUUUUAAGUGCUAUAUUAUUUUCUAUGGCAACAACUAGAUAUGAAUUACACAAAAUAGCAAAAAGGACAUUACUUAAUAUUCAACAAAAACGUUUAAAUGUAAAUAUUAAGCAAAUUGUAGAUGAAACGAUAACUGAAUUUCUAAAAAGUGGUGUAAUAAAAAUAAAAGAAAAAGAAAAAAAUGUUAAUAUAUUAAAACCAAAUAUAAGUGUUGUGUUUCCAUCACAGGAUAUAUCUUCUUGUCCUACAAAAAUAGAAACAAAAAAAAAACGAAUAAUAAAGCUUACCAAUAAUUCUAAAUUAGAAUUAUGUAGUCUUGGACGUGCAGCUAUGAAAGGUUGUAUUGAUAUGGAAUGUGCAUAUACAUUAUAUCAAGACUUAAAAAAAGCACAAGAACAUUUAAUUCUUCUUGAUUAUUUACAUCUAUUAUAUCUUGUUACACCAUAUAAUAUAAUAUCUCAAAUAAAACCAAUAGGAUUUAUUUAUUAUGAUAUGAUAAUUAAUUUAUCAGAAACGCAAAUGAAAACAGCUAGACUUUUAGGAAUUAAUGAAAUAAAUAUAAGUAAAAUACGUGAUGGAUUAAUACCUAAAAAUGUAGAACCAAGAGUGAUUCAUAGAUUUUAUGUAACAUUAAUACUGUAUGAUUUGUGGAAUCAACAUGCAGUGUACAAAAUAGCAGAAAAAUAUGAUAUAAGCAGAGGUAUUGUGCAAAAUCUUUUAACUGCUGUAUCAUCAUUUGCAUUUUCUGUAAUUCGAUUUUGUCAGGAAUUAGAUGAAUUUUGGGCAUUUAAAGAUUUAUUAAAUGUAUUCAGUAAAAAAUUAUCUUAUUGUUGUCCCUUAGAAUUAGAAGCACUAAUGGAUUUACCUUUAGUUAAAAUUAGCACGACAAUUAUAUAAUGCUGGAUUUAAAACAGUACAAAUUAUAGCUAAAACUCAACCAAUACAGUUACAAGAAAAAAUUCCAUAUUUAAGUAAAAAGGUUGCAAUGCAAAUUAUUGAGGGUGCUAAAUUAUUAAUAGUGGAGAAAAUAGAAAAUCUACAAGAUGAAACUGAAAAUAUUUUAGAUGGAAUACAUAUGAAUACUUUAAAAGGAUUUUAAAUUAUUAAAAUUAUUCGAUUUAUAUAAUAUAAAUAUUUCAUUUAUAAAAUAUUAAUUUUAUAUGAAUAACAUGUAUUUUUUUACAUAAUUUAAUUAUAAAAUUUUGUUAAUUAU
rnacentral:misc_RNA from 1 species